CAUGAUUCUAUGGAACCAGGAAGCGACAGCCACGACGAGAGGAGCACUUGAUGGGCCAUGUCGCUUUCUCUUUAUACAUGCACGUCAUGGUCAUGUAUCCAUCAACUCAAUAGGGCAACCCUGAUUUAAAGCCUCGUUUCAUUGUAUCAAUCACUUGCAUUCCCCCACUACUCCUCUUAACAACAUUCAAAAUAAUAUGCU
rnacentral:lncRNA from 1 species